UACGUAGGGGGCAAGCGUUGUCCGGAUUUAUUGGGCGUAAAGAGCGUGUAGGCGGCCAUACAGGUCCGUUGUGAAAACUGGAGGCUUAACCUCCAGACGUCGAUGGAAACCGUAUGGCUAGAGUCCGGAAGAGGAGAGUAGAAUUCCUGGUGUAGCGGUGAAAUGCGCAGAUAUCAGGAAGAACACCCGUGGCUAAGGCGGUCCUCUGGGACGGUACUGACGCUGAGACGCGAAAGCGUGGGGAGCGAACAGG
rnacentral:rRNA from 1 species